rnacentral:rRNA from 1 species
CCCAGCAUCCAUACCAUCCUGCAACUCACAACUGGAACCUCAAUGAAGCUAAGGAGGUGUUAGCCUUGUCAGUACCUGGAUGGGAGACCACCUUGGAAAAACUAAGGUUGUUGUGA